CACUUUUCCAUAUGGGUUUUUUUGAAUUUCAAAAAAUAUUAUCUUCCUAGGGUUCAAUUUUUGUUAAUUUUAGUUGUUUUCUCCUAAUUUUGGUGAUUAGAUUUUGAACUUUUUUUUUCUUUCCAAAAUCCACAUCGACAUGGGUUUGUGGUUGUUUUAAGGAAGUGAAAGAAGACAAUGGCAUCCGCUCAACUCAAAGCUUUUCUUUCAAUGGUUAAUCAAUGCCUUCUUGACUCAUCUGCCAAAAUCUCUUCAAUUUCAACAGCAGUGGCCAACACUCUUCCCCAAAGCACUGCCCAUUUUCCACAAAAAUCACAUCUCAAACUCUUCCAAUUUUGAACACAACAUGCCCGGAGAAGGAACUGCAUCUUUGCACCAACUAUUGAGAUGACCAUGGCAAUGGUCGAGCCAAAAAAAAAAGGAGCAAGAUGAUCAAAAGCAACAAUCUGCAACACCUUACUUUGUUAAAAAUAUUGAACUGAUCCUAGGUUUUCAUUUGAAGGGAAAGUAUUGCAUUCGUAUGAAUUCUACGUCGCUGCUCCGGAACUAGCUGAAACCUUAAACCUCAACAUAAUGAAGAUGAAGAUGAGCCGGAAACAAUGAAGUAGGAAAAUCUAGAUUCAAUAACAUGUUCGUAGUCUAUCAAAAUAUUUUGAAUAAUUAGCAGUUUAAUGCUGUUAAUUUUUUUAUCACGGUAAUAUGUUGCUAAUUUACCUUCUCAAACAACAGACAUGUAAAUAUUGAUAUAUAAAAAUUAUUUUAUGUUAAAUAGUAUUGUCUUAAA